rnacentral:rRNA from 1 species
AACGAACGCUGGCGGUAGGCCUAACACAUGCAAGUCGAGCGAUCUCUUCGGAGAUAGCGGCGGACGGGUGAGUAACGCGUGGGAACAUACCCAGAGGUACGGAACAACAGUUGGAAACGACUGCUAAUACCGUAUACGCCCUACGGGGGAAAGAAUUUCGCCUUUGGAUUGGCCCGCGUUGGAUUAGAUAGUUGGUGGGGUAAUGGCCUACCAAGUCGACGAUCCAUAGCUGGUUUGAGAGGAUGAUCAGCCACACUGGGACUGAGACACGGCCCAGACUCCUACGGGAGGCAGCAGUGGGGAAUCUUAGACAAUGGGGGCAACCCUGAUCCAGCCAUGCCGCGUGAGUGAUGAAGGCCUUAGGGUUGUAAAGCUCUUUCGCUAGGGAAGAUAAUGACGGUACCUAGUAAAGAAGCCCCGGCUAACUUCGUGCCAGCAGCCGCGGUAA